rnacentral:lncRNA from 10 species
GCAGUGGGGAGCUGUUGAGAGCAUUUUGAGUGGGGCAGUGACACUGCUGGCUCUGCAUUUUGGAAAGGUGGUUUUCAGAGCAGUUUGGAUGAUGCUGGGGAGUAGCUGACAGGUUGAAGAUCAGUCCUGAGGAGCAGAUUCAUAAUCCACUUAGGAAAAAGGAGGGGGGAUGCACGGAGUUAGCACAUAUUAAGUGCCUGCUGUAGUCAAGCCCUGUUGGACACCAGGGACAUCUGGACCUUGACAACGGAGCGAAGGGGUGGUCCUGCCUGCACCAGGUUUCAGACUGUGGGUUCUCUCAACAGGGUGAACAUGAAAAAUAGAAGCCUCCAGUUUCUCCUGAUAGUGUAUAGAUGGGCAGAUCUGGCCUCAAUGGCAGAAGAUACUUGGGGAACUGGAGAAAGUACAGAAGGUGAUGUGAAAUCAAUUGGGUCAUCAAAAGAAGACGGGUGUACCACAAUUUGUUCCUCCACCUGCUGCCCAUGAACAUUUGGAGGGUUUCUAGUUUUUGGCUAUUACAAAUAAAGUUGUCAUGAACAUUUGCAUAC